GGCGAACGGGUGAGUAAUGUAUCGGAACGUACCCAGUCGUGGGGGAUAACUAUCCGAAAGGAUAGCUAAUACCGCAUACGACCUGAGGGUGAAAGGCGGGGACCGCAAGGCCUCGCGCGAUUGGAGCGGCCGAUAUCGGAUUAGCUAGUUGGUGAGGUAAAGGCUCACCAAGGCGACGAUCCGUAGCUGGUCUGAGAGGACGACCAGCCACACUGGAACUGAGACACGGUCCAGACUCCUACGGGAGGCAGCAGUGGGGAAUUUUGGACAAUGGGGCAACCCUGAUCCAGCCAUUCCGCGUGAGUGAAGAAAGGCCUU
rnacentral:rRNA from 1 species